GAAAUAUCUAAGUAAGCUUCUAACUUACACCCAAGCAAUUAUUUGUUUAUAUUUCU
rnacentral:tRNA from 1 species